AUUGAACGCUGGCGGCAGGCCUAACACAUGCAAGUCGGACGGUAGCACAGAGGAGCUUGCUCCUUGGGUGACGAGUGGCGGACGGGUGAGUAAUGUCUGGGGAUCUGCCCGAUAGAGGGGGAUAACCACUGGAAACGGUGGCUAAUACCGCACAACGUCGCAAGACCAAAGAGGGGGACCCUCGGGCCUAUCACUAUCGGAUGAACCCAGAUGGGAUUAGCUAGUAGGCGGGGUAAUGGCCCACCUAGGCGACGAUCCCUAGCUGGUCUGAGAGGAUGACCAGCCACACUGGAACUGAGACACGAUCCAGACUCCUACGGGAGGCAGCAGUGGGGAAUAUUGCACAAUGGGCGCAAGCCUGAUGCACCCAUGCCGCGUGUAUGAAGAAGGCCUUCGGGUUGUAAAGUACUUUCAGCGGGGAGGAAGGCGGUGAGGUUAAUAACGGGUGCCGAUUGACCCCCACCCCCCACAAGAAGCACUGGCUAUCUCCGUGCCAGCAGCCGCGGUAAUACGGAGGGGUGCAAGCGUUAAUCGAAAUUACUGGCGUAAAGCGCACGCGGCGGUCUGUUAAGUCAGAUGUGAAAUCCCCGGGCUUAACCUGGGAACUGCAUUUGAACUGGCAGGUUUGAUCUCUUCUCGUAGAGGGGGGGUAGAAUUUCCGUGGCCGGUGAAUUGCCUAAGAGUUCUGGGAGAUACGGGUGGCCAAGGCGGCCCCCUUGGACAAGUACUGACGCUAGGUCAGGUGCGAGGCUGUGGGAAGCAAACAGGAUGACAUACCGUGUCCCACGCCGGUAAACGAGCUA
rnacentral:rRNA from 1 species